rnacentral:snoRNA from 1 species
CCAACAUAGAGUAUCUAUCUGGAGUCGCUUCCAAGAUAGCUCUGCUCGUGUGACAAGGAGCCUAGAACCUUUGUUCAUUGAGGUAUAUUCCAGUCACAGUGUUGGAUAUAAAUUCAGCUCAUUGUUUUGUGUCAUGCUUAACUUUUGAUGCAGAAUUUGGCAUAUUCCAUAAACUUUUUGUAGAUACUAUGUAUCAAUUACCAUCAAGAUAAACCAUGCUAAAAACAUUU